UGUAACAUAAAUCUUGUAGAAACUUUGUUGACUAGUUUUCAUUAUUUAUAUUAGUGGGAGAAGAAACGUUUAAUGGGUUUAUAAACUUUUUCUCAUGAUAGGCCUUAAAAGACUUACAAUGGAUUAAGAAGUCAAGCCCACACGCGUGCCUAGCUUAGUCAAUGUCGUAAGUGUGCGAUUUAGGCGCAGAUGCAUCGGUCGUUGGGAGCUGAGGAGAUCUUAUUUUUGUCCAAAAGAAGUGCUCAGAAGCAAAAGGAAGCAGGAGCAGCUGUCGGGAGCUCGGGAAUCAAGGAAAGAAGAAAAGAGCCAAAAAUCACAAGGCACUCAACGAGUCGGUACGUGACUCGACAAGUUCCCACAAAGGUUCUCGAAGCAGAGGAAUCAUUGCCUUGCCGGACACAGGGAUUUAAUGAGGGACUCGGCGAGUUUGUACCUAGACUCGACGAGUCACCUCUAAUCUAUAAAAGAGACUUCCAGAUCGACACCCGAUUUUUUUAAGAAGUCCUUGGAGAUAAAGUUGCGAAUAAGACUUAUGGAGCGUGAGAAGUCGGAGAAUCAACCUAGAUCCAUUUUUGGAGGAGAAUUAAGGCAAAAUCAAUUUAUUCUUUACUAAAUCUAGUUUCCAAAACAUGUUUGAGUUAUUGGAUUGUGUUUUUGAGUUUUUUACUAUCUUAAUCAUGAACUAGAACAUAUAUCUUCUGUUUAGGGAAGACAAAUUUGUGACUAUGUGUUAAUUUAUGAGUAGGAUUAAUUUUUGUUGGUAAUAAUGUUUUUCUAUGCU